rnacentral:rRNA from 1 species
CCCUUAGAUGCUCUGGGCCGCACGCGCGCUACACUGGUCGAUGCAACGAGUUUCUUUCCUUGGCCGACAGGCCUGGGCAAUCUUUGAACAUCGAUCGUGAUCGGGAUAGAUUCUUGUAAUUUUUGAUCUUAAACGAGGAAUUCCUAGUAAACGCAAGUCAUCAGCUUGCAUUGAUUACGUCCCUGCCCUUUGUACACACCGCCCGUCGCACCUACCGAUUGAAUGGUCCGGUGAAAUCUCCGGACUGGCGUGAGUCGGAGCAAUCUGACAAACACCGGAAAGUUGAUUAAACCUUACCAUUGAGAGGAAGGUGAAGUCGUAACA